GUAGGAACCUUAAGAAGAUCGAUCCGCCGUAUCAACACUGUAUUUAAAUCAACUUUACUUCAGGUCAACGUCCAGGCCUUUGGAGUACCUUUAUGUUUUUGGCACAGUGCUCUUCUUCAUGUUUCAGGGUGGCUGACUAUGGAGAGGAUCUAAAAGAAGUGGUGGAUCAGACAUUGUGGAAGGAUACAGGCUUCAAUUGUGACCAUUCAGCUGGACACAUUAACAAUGAAAACGGCCAGUAGUGAAACAUAUGAAGAUGGUGCAAAAUGACUAACAAGCUAUUAUGACAAAGACAAACUCUUG